GAGUGCUUGAAACCCCCUUCUGGGUUUCGACCUCCCAUCCUUGUCUAUCUGUACCCUGUUGCUUCGGCGGGCCCGCCAUCUGGCCGCCGGGGGGCAUCUCGCCCCCGGGUGUGCGCCCGCCGGGGACUCAAACACUGAACGCUGUCUGAAGGUUGCAGUCUGAGUUCUACGGAAAAAUUCGUUAAAACUUUCAACAACGGAUCUCUUGGUUCC
rnacentral:misc_RNA from 1 species